GCCGACGUGGUGUAACCCGGCGAGCAUACGACCCUGUCGCGGUCGUGAUCCGGGUUCGAAUCCCGGCGUCGGCG
rnacentral:tRNA from 1 species